CCUACGGGGGGCUGCAGUGGGGAAUAUUGCGCAAUGGAGGCAACUCUGACGCAGCGACGCCGCGUGGGUGAUGAAGGUUUUCGGAUUGUAAAGCCCUGUCGGCUGGGAAAAAGGUAGUCGUGUUAAUACCACGAUUGCUUGAUGGUACCAGCAAAGGAAGCACCGGCUAACUCUGUGCCAGCAGCCGCGGUAAUACAGAGGGUGCAAGCGUUGUUCGGAAUUACUGGGCGUAAAGGGCGCGUAGGCGGCCUUGCAAGUCAGAUGUGAAAUCCUGG
rnacentral:rRNA from 1 species